rnacentral:rRNA from 1 species
GACGGGGGAUGCAAGUGUUAUCCGGAAUCACUGGGCGUAAAGCGUCUGCAGGUGGUCUCCUAAGUCCACUGUUAAACCUUGAGGCUCAACCUCAAAUCUGCAUUGGAAACUAGGAGACUUGAGUAUAGUAGGGGUAGAGGGAAUUUCCAGUGGAGCGGUGAAAUGCGUAGAUAUUGGAAAGAACACCGAUGGCGAAGGCACUCUACUGGGCUAUUACUGACACUCAGAGACGAAAGCUAGGGGAGCAAAUGGG